rnacentral:rRNA from 1 species
AGAAUCCGUUUGAUCCUGACGGACCUGACUGCUAUCAGAUUGAUACUAAGCCAUGUUAGUCAUUGUAGUAAUACAAGGCAGACGGCUCAGUAACACGUAGUCAACCUAACUUAUGGACGGGGAUAACCUCGGGAAACUGAGAAUAAUACCCGAUAGGUCAUGAUGCCUGGAAUGGUUUAUGACUCAAAUAAUUUAUUGCCGUAGGAUGGGACUGCGAGCUAUCAGCUUGUUGGUGAGGUAAUGGCCCACCAAGGCUUUGACAGCUACGGGCUCUGAGAGGAGUAGCCCGGAGAUGGGUACUGAGACAAGGACCCAGGCCCUAUGGGGCGCAGCAGGCGAGAAAACUUUGCAAUGCGCGAAAGCUCGACAAGGUUAAUCUGAGUGGUUCCUGCUAAAGGAACCUUUUGUUAGUCGUAGAACCACUGAUGAAUAAGGGGUGGGCAAGUUCUGGUGUCAGCCGCCGCGGUAAAACCAGCACCUCAAGUGGUCAGGAUGAUUAUGGGGCCUAAAGCAUCCGUAGCC